GACGAACGCUGGCGGCGUGCCUAAUACAUGCAAGUCGAACGAACCGCGACUAGGUGCUUGCACUUGGUCAAGGUGAGUGGCGAACGGGUGAGUAACACGUGGGUAACCUACCUCAUAGUGGGGGAUAACAGUCGGAAACGACUGCUAAUACCGCAUAGGACAUGGGAUCACAUGAUUCUGUGAGGAAAGGUGGCGCAAGCUAUCGCUACGAGAUGGACCCGCGGUGCAUUAGCUAGUUGGUAGGGUAACAGCCUACCAAGGCGAUGAUGCAUAGCCGACCUGAGAGGGUGAUCGGCCACAUUGGGACUGAGACACGGCCCAAACUCCUACGGGAGGCAGCAGUAGGGAAUCUUCCGCAAUGGACGCAAGUCUGACGGAGCAACGCCGCGUGAGUGAAGAAGGUCUGCGGAUCGUAAAGCGCUGUUGUUAGAGAAGAACAGCGCAUAGAGUAACUGUGAUGCGUGUGACGGUAUCUAACCAGAAAGCCACGGCUAACUACGU
rnacentral:rRNA from 1 species